rnacentral:rRNA from 1 species
UACCCGCUGAAACUUAAGCAUAUCAAUAAGCGGAGGAUAAGAAACUAACAAGGAUUCCCCUAGUAACUGCGAGUGAAGCGGGAAAAGCUCAAAUUUAAAAUCUGGCGGUCUUUGGCCGUCCGAGUUGUAAUCUAGAGAAGUAAUGCCCGUGCUGGACCGUGUAUAAGUCUCCUGGGAUGGGGCGUCAUAGAGGGUGAGAAUCCCGUCUUUGACACGGACUACCAGUGCAUUGUGGUAUGCUCUCAAAGAGUCGAGUUGUUUGGGAAUGCAGCUCAAAAUGGGUGGUAAAUUCCAUCUAAAGCUAAAUAUUGGCGAGAGACCGAUAGCGAACAAGUACCGUGAGGGAAAGAUGAAAAGAACUUUGGAAAGAGAGUUAAACAGUACGUGAAAUUGCUGAAAGGGAAACGCUUGAAGUCAGUCGCGUUGGCCGGGGAUCAGCCUUGCUUUUGCAUGGUGUACUUUCUGGUUGACGGGUCAGCAUCAAUUUUGACCRCUGGAAAAAGACCUGGGGAAUGUGGCAGCUUCGGCUGUGUUAUAGCCCCUAGUCGCAUACAGUGGUUGGGAUUGAGGAACUCAGCACGCCGCAAGGCCGGGUUUCGACCACGUUCGUGCUUAGGAUGCUGGCAUAAUGGCUUUAAGCGACCCGUCUUGAAACACGGACCAAGGAGUCUAACAUGCCUGCGAGUAUUUGGGUGGAAAACCCAAGUGCGUAAUGAAAGUGAAAGUUGAGAUCCCUGUCGUGGGGAGCAUCGACGCCCGGACCAGAACUUUUGGGACGGAUCCGCGGUGGAGCAUGUAUGUUGGGACCCGAAAGAUGGUGAACUAUGCCUGAAUAGGGUGAAGCCAGAGGAAACUCUGGUGGAGGCUCGUAGCGAUUCUGACGUGCAAAUCGAUCGUCAAAUUUGGGUAUAGGGGCGAAAGACUAAUCGAACCAUCUAGUAGCUGGUUCCUGCCGAGUUUUCCCUCAGGA